UACGUAUGGGGCGAGCGUUGUUCGGAAUUAUUGGGUGUAAAGGGCGUCUAGGCGGGAGAUUAAGUUAGAUGUGAAAGGCGUGGGCUUAACCCACGAAUUGCAUCUAAAACUGGUUUUCUUGAGUUCGGGAGAGGAGAGCGGAAUUCCUAGUGUAGCGGUGAAAUGCGUAGAGAUUAGGAAGAACACCAGUGGCGAAGGCGAUUCUCUGGACUGUAACUGACGCUGAGGCUCGAAAGCGUGGGGAGCAAACAGGAUUAGAUACCCCGGUAGUCCCUGAGCGGG
rnacentral:rRNA from 1 species